AAUUGGUUCUAGCAAACUGGAGAUCCUGCAGCUAAUGGCCAGAGCUCCCAGUUAGUUAUAAUACACUUCUUGGGGGCAUAUCCUAAAGAGUGCUAUGUGAAAAUGAUCACCGCAUUUUUCGUCGCGAAGGCAUUAUCUCCGUGAUCGAUUAUUCUGGGCUUUCGGUGAAGCGAGCGGCUGAAAAACAGGUAGGCGACAGUACUGUUUUGUACGGUUUCUGCACAACGUAUGAGUUGAAAAGGCAUGUUGUUGUCACGUAAGGGCCCUGAUCAUGUUGCACAGACAUUUUAAUUGCAUUUUGUGUCUGUUAAGAGGAGCUAAAGGCACUCUUUAGGAUAUGCCCCCAAGAAGUGUAUUAUAACUAACUGGGAGCUCUGGCCAUUAGCUGCAGGAACUCCAGUUUGCUAGAACCAAUUCUGGUCGUUGUUUUUCCUAUCGUUUCCCAGAUGAGCUGUAUUUUACUUUAAAAAAAUCAGCAUAAACUGUGCAAAUAUAUUUGAUUAUUAUUUUAUUUAGUCUUCAGUAUUUUCAGUUUAAACACACACAGUUAAAGCUCCAGUGUGUAACAUUUAGGAGGAUCUACUGUCAGAAAUUGAAUAUAAUAUUCAUAGGUAUGUUUUCAUUAGUGUAUAAUCACCUGAAAAUGAGAGUUGAUGUGUUUUUGUUACCUGUGAAUGAGCUGUUUUUACCUACAGAGGGAGCGGCUCUAGAUAUGGCCUUUGGCCUUUUGCAACCACUGUAGUUUCUCCUACAUGCUUGGAGGCAGAGGGUGAAGCAAGGGAGUUGCAAUCUGCAGCUACACCACUAAAUGCUACUAAAUGAGUACAAUUACAGUUUUUAUGGGCUUUGAAGAGAACAUGAUGGAUAUAACGGCUCCAGCUCCCCGCCAUCGCGCGGUCACUGCAGCAACUGUGCCAACUGGCAGGCUGGAAAAUACACAGGAGCCAGCCGUGUCACAAGUCUCUCUGUCUCUCUCUCUCUCUCUGUUACCAAAAGUGUCACAACCUUCCUGUCAUCCUCACAUCAGGUUGGGUUUCUGUUGUAAUGCUGAAAUUUCCAAACAGACUGCAAAGGAGAAAAUGUAGUCAUGUUUGCACAGGAAUGGUCUUUUCUGCAGUGGAUUCCCAUAUUAGAUUAUUCCCAAGAACAAAACCGUGAAAUCUUGAACCCUGGUCGCACAAACAGUAGCAAUGCCACAAUAUACACACUAAAGCACCAUUNNNNNNNNNNNNNNNNNNNNAUCUGAUAAGUAUGACUUAAACCAGGUUAGGGCAGUUCCUUUAAUGCCAAUUUGAUGCUCAAGUCUCUGUAAAAGAAUAUCAUGGUCAAUGGUGUCAAAUGCAGCACUAAGAUCUAAUAAUACAAGUACAGAGACAAGUCCAUUGUCAGAAGCAGUCAGAAGGUCAUUAUUAACUUUAACCAGAGCUGUCUCUGUGCUAUGAUGAACUCUAAUCCUGACUGAAAUCCUCAAAUAAACUAUUGUUAUGUAGAAAGUCACACAACUCUUUGGCGACUACUUUCUCCAGAAUCUUAGAGAGGAACGGGAGGUUAGAAAUCGGUCUAUAGUUGGCUAAAACCCCUGGGUCAAGAGUAGACUUUUUAAGAAGGGGUUUAAUUACAGCUACUUUAAAGGACUGUGGUACAUAUCCUGAUAAUAAAGAAAGAUUAAUCAUAUCCAGUAAAGAAGUGCCAAUUAAGGGAACAACUUCUUUAAGCAGCCUUAUUAUGAAUAUACUUUUGAUUUAGAAGAUGACAGCAUGACACGAUUUACGAGAAUGCAACUAAAUCUUCAAAGUCAUUGCUUUGAGAUAGUGGAAGAAAAUAUAGUAUAUUAUAAUAUACUAUACUAAUAAUAGUUUUUGCAGACAUUGUUGUAUUUUUCCUGUCGCAGUGAUGUAACAGUAAUUACACAAAUAUUGAUCAUAUUGCUAAUCUUUACUUUUAUGGCUUAUCAUGUCGGUUUGUUAGGUCUGAAUUUAGCAAUGUGUACACAGGCAGCACAGAUGUGCCAGUAAAGGUCACUGAAUUUAAACUGCAAUAAGGGAGAGAAAGAGAGAUAAAAUGAAAUGUGGAAAGCUCCAGCAGACUGAAAUAUAGCUUGUGCUUAAGGCUUUUAUACAUACAUAUCCUCUGUUAAUUUAGAUUUGUUAUUAUAAAUAUUAAUGAUUAAUGUUAUUUUUUCUGUGAUGACAUGGCAGUCUGUGCCGGCUGUUUACCUGCUUUUUGUCGAGUGUAUGAUGGGACUCAGGCCGUCUAUGACCCUUGCUAAACUCAACAACAGUGGUUAAUUAAUUGACUGAUAAUUAAUCAGUCAAUAAAUUAACAACAUUUUUUAUAUUUAUUAAGCCAAAAUACCCACAAUUCUCUGGUUCCAGCUAUAAGCAGCAUUGAUUCGCAUUUUCACUACGUUCGGACAUUUUAUAGAUUAAACACUUCAUCAGGUAAUUGCAAAACCAUUAAUAGCCCCAUGGAUAGUUGAAUUGUUGCUUUUAAAUAAUUCCCUUUUUGUAAAUGUCUUGAGCAACACUAUUUCUGAUAAAAAGCCAUGACAACAAAACUGCAACCAGCAGUGAAGUAACACCUUGUCACCCCUUUGUUUCAUAACUUUCAUAUGGUCAUUGUUUCCUCUGUGAGAUUUUAGUUAGCUUAACUUUUGUUUUCUAAUGCCAGACUUCUAACCUUGGUGUGAUCACAUGGACACUGCAUGAUAGUUAGAGCCGAGAGAGAGUGAACCUCCAAUAUUGAAAAUCUCUUUAGUGCAUCAGCACCAAAAUCAAUGGUCGAUGCUCGCAGAGAGGACUAAAUGUCAACAAAGUCAACCAAAUUUCAGCCAAAAGCAGGCGGUUUAUAUAUUUUUUUUAUGUCACAAACAAAAAUAUGUGUUAAAAAACAAACUAUGUAAGAGGUAAAAUAAAAUCUAAUUAUAUGUAAAACUACAUCUGAAUAUCUAAGUUUGAUAUAUAUUGUUCCUAAUAAAAUUGUCAAAUAAGGUAUCUUUAUAAACCAUAAUAUUUACUUAAUUUAUAUAUCAAGGCAUCAAGGAAAUUCAUUUAUCAUUAUACAACACAAGACUGUAUAAUAAAAUGAACUUUUGCAGUCCUUAGUGCUACAAACAUAGAAAAAUAUCUGGUUCUACUGUAAUAGAACAACAUACGAAAUAAAGUUUAAAAAAAAUAGGCUAUUAUUGUUUACCUUUUAUAGUGUUUGAGUUUACUUGGUUGUAAAUGCUGCUAUGGAAAUAUUUUUUCUGAUGCAAUCCUGAGGCAAUUGAUCCAGAUUGAUCUCAGUAACCCUUAGACAGGCAGACACGGUUGUGAUAAAUACUGCCUGUUGUCUUUAUGACCAUGUGAAAGUGGCAUGUUUGGUACGUUGAGUCUAAAGUCUCCCUGUGCAUGAUUGAGAGGUACACAGAGGCAUCGCUGAGGGGGGGAAACCCUUCAGUGUUGGGAGGGACAAGAGUGCUCCUGCCCUCUGACCUAGAGGUUUGAAGAGGUCAGAUAGCAGUCGGUAUCUGGCUCUAAUUCAAAGAAAACUACAAUACAAGACACUGAAAUAAAUUUGAGUUGAAAGAAAUUCCUGAAACAGACUCACUGGGUAAAUGAGGGAUUUCUCCUGCAGCUAAUAAGAGGCUGCAGACACAGGUGGUGAGGUGAGAUAGGACUGAAUACAGAUCAAUCAGAUGUUGGUUGCCGACCUGUGAACAGUUUUUAUUAUGAGAGACAACAGUCAGUCCCACUUUGAUCUAGUUUUGGUAUAGAGCAGCACAGCCUCUAGGGGACACACACAGGGCUUUCUCCUCUUGAUGUUGUCAGGAUGACCCUCAGCUGAUAUUACACAGUCAGACUGAAUGAAUUGUUUUCUGGUGUAGAAAUUAAAGGAAAAAAAGGAAGAGUUAAGUUCACCCAUUUCUGACAAGUUGUUAAAAAUCCCUGCCGGAUCGGCUUCCUUUCUCCAAAUAAAGCUGACUCUGAUCCACUUGAUGUUUUUGAGAUUAAUGUUCAACCCACAACUGAAAAUCAAUGAAGCAAAUAAGCUUUAAAAAUAGCAUCCCUGUCAACAGUAUAGAAGCCAAAACAGCAACAACUGUGACCUAGAGAAGGGUUCUAAAAAAUUUUAUUUUUUUACUUAACAUCUUGAAAACUUUUUAAUUAAGUUUUAAUCUAAGUAUUAAAGUCUUCAGUAACCACUAAUUUAGAAGUGUUUUCUCAUAUCAAACGUAUUUUGGUCUGAUCUGCGUUGACAUCCUUGUAACUCGAAAGACAAGAGAAGAAAAGUUCACAUUGACAUUAAUUAUUUAAUUUAGGUGUUAAAAAGCCAUCAGAUAAAUUACAUCAGAUCAAGUCAUGACCCUCAUUAUUCAACCGCCUGAAAAUGUGAAAAAUAGACAUAUUGUGAUUUCUGGAUUUUUUUUCAAAACAUAUUUCUUCCCUUAAAGCCAUCUCGGUUUCUUUUUUAAAUAAAUGUUUGAUAGUGCUAAGAGAACAGUCUAGACCUCACAUUGAAUUUGAGUUGAAUUGUCUCUUCAGGAACCCUUUUUAGAACAUGUUAAAUCAUCUUUUCAAUGGAUAACAUUUUCACUUCCAUAAAGUCACUGUAAAAAUAAUCCUGCUGUGGUAUGUUAUGGGGAUCAUGUCAGGAAAGAGCCAGAGUUUAUGCAGCACUCUGCAGUGAGUAAUCUAAAGAUCUUCUGUAACACCAGCAGGGGUCCAUCAUGUUUCUCAAAUAGAAGCUGAGGCAAAAGGCUGAGGCAUCCCAACCAUGAGGCACAUGCAGGCGACACUCCCCUAUCAGCUGGCCGGCAGCCAGGUCAAGUUUACACUGAUUGGUUGGCGAGUAAGUCCACUGACUUUUCAUUGGUUGUUUGAGGAACCAUAUGACAGCGUAUGCAAAUUGUCUGUAUGUGGCAGUUGAAAAGUGCUGAGCAACCCCGGCACUGAAAGGCAGGACGAGAGCAAGAGAGAGGUGGAAGAAAAGGGGGAGUGACGAAGGCAUGAACUUUUAGAAGAAGCUGCUCUGUAGAAUUCAAAAGUCAAAGGGACUUAAAAACUUUAAAAAGCUUGUAGUUUUCUCCUUGGA
rnacentral:lncRNA from 15 species